GAAAACACCGACUGUGAGCUGCCAUCACGUGGUGCGCUUUAUGAUUUGUGCGCUCAGGAUUUGGCUCCAAGAUCAUUCACUUUGCGGAGCUCUCACCUCGUCCAGCCGAGAGGAUGAGCGGAUCCGUGUCUGAGCAUCUUCCGCGGCGGUUCGUCCUCCAUGCCUCCAUCUGAACAAGUUCGUUUGGUCUGAUGUUUCCACUCCGAGCGUCAUAUGGGAGAGAAUGCGUCUUCUCGUUUUCGCGACUUUGUUUGGAAUCCUUUUUGAAGCAGGAGAUGCCCUUCAGAUCCAGUGCUACCAGUGUGAGGAGAUGAAGCACAAUGACUGUUCCACACCAGAGUACAUCGUCAACUGCACAGUCAAUGUACAGGACAUGUGCCAGAAGGAGGUGCUGGUCAAACCUGAUGGGAUUCAUUACAGGAAAUCCUGUGCCUCCUCUGGGGCCUGCCUCAUCGCCUCCUCUGGCUACCAGCAGUUCUGCACCGGCAAGCUCAACUCAGUCUGCAUCUCCUGCUGCAACACCCCUCUCUGCAACGGGCCCAAAAGGAAGCGCCCUACCCCCUCGGCGGCAGUGAUGAACCAGCCUCUUCUCCUCAUCCUCGUGCUACCACUGAUGCUCUGUCCGCUGAUGUAGAUGAUCCGACCACAUCUUCACUGUACAUUUUUCCUUCAGUAUGAUCGCUAGAAAAGACAGAAACCUCACUUUUCUUGCAUCUUGGUUUGUUUAGGUUCAGCCUUGAGCCCGGAUCUAUGGUCUGUGAUAUAUUGAAGGUUUGGAGACCACAUUCACUUUCUAGCUUCUCACCAUCAUGACAGACUGUUACUCUGAUUGAUAUAAAACUGUAACCAGUGAGAAUGGCACAGCAGCAGUGGAAAUCGGAGUCAUUCUUUCUGAAUCAUUCGUUGCUCUUGUUGCUAAAGAAGGAGCGCCCAGUCAGCAGCUGAGGCAUCUCAGUUUCUUUGCUUUUUGUGAGGUCGAGCUUCUUGUGAAGAACCUGGUCUGAAGUUCUUUUCUGGUUGUUACAUGCUGUAAACAAUGCAGGUAGAAGUUACUGUAGAAAAUAAUAUUUUAAGCUUUUAUUUAGUGGGUGUAUUUGGACGCAUUCAGAUUGGUUUGAAACUGAACUGUUGGUUUACUUAAUGUUGAUGCUCAGAAUAUGCCGGGUUUUUUUAUGUUUACGAUGGACCUGAACUUAUGAAACUCUACUUCUAUUCUUCAUUUGUUCUACUGAAGAAGGCACUUUGGUUCAGGCAAAUUUGAAGGUAUCUCACAUCAUCUUAUCCUGUCAUAUUUAUGCAUAUAUGCCAAUGCCAUACAGUAUUGAUUGACAUUUUACUUUAAGGGGUAUGACAGAUCCUGAAAUAGUUUUGAAAAGCUGAAUGGUGUUAUUGCUUUUUCAUGAGGUAAUUCUCUCAUACGAGCAGCUUAUUAGAGAAUCAAUGAAAUGUUAAUAUUCCAUAUAUUCCUUUGUGAAAUGAGAUAUUGAACUAAACUUGAAAACACCUGGUCCAGCGAAUUAUAAAAUGAAUAUUAGACAGCGCAGAAUAACACAUAAGCACAAUGAAAUUCUCACUUGAGAGCUGGUUCAGGUUGAUACCAGCCACAUUUCCCUUUAAUAGCUCUUUAAAUCUCCAAAUUAGACAUAUGCCCAAAUCAUAGCGGGUGAUGCCUACUGUAUAGCCAGUGCUGUAGACCAAAUACUGUAUUUUAUAAUUUACAUCAGUGAAAAGAAAUUUGAAAUAUGGCUCAUAUUUCCAGUUUUUGAGAAAUUAUCAUGAUUCCUAUGUGCUUAUAAAUUCUCUACUAUCCCGUUUCCAGUCUGUACAGCAUUCUGUGUUUAUGUAGUGAAUGUGCUGAAGGUUUUAAUUCCACAUAUGAAGGUACUGAAAACAAAUGAUUUCAGACAGAGAUGGACCAUCUCAUAAAUGGUCUGGUUUUCUGUGAACAGUAACACUGUAAAGUGCUCAUAUGUGAUGUAAAUAAAUGUUGCAAAAUAUGAACCUGUCAGGUGGUUAGAUGGCAUGUUUUUAUUCAGAAGCAAGAGUGCUUAUGCGUCUAGUUCACUGUAGCUAAUGUUAAAUAGCCUGGGAUUUUAAAGCUGAAGUUAACUUAGUCAUUUAGCAUGUUUGUCCUCAAACUUUAGAGAAGCAAUUUAUUUUAUGAGUUUGUAAUUUCAUAAUUUUCUAAUUAGAAAGAACAGUCAUUUAGCACCAAUUAGUGGCAGUUGUUGGUUUCCAGGGAAAUGUCCCAUUUAAACUGAAGGAAAUAUUAAUUUUUCACUUCUUAUUGCUAGGUUGCUAUGCGUUCCUGUAGACAAAUAUUCAAUUUUUGCAUCAUAUACUGCAAGAUCCCAAAGCUAUACUAACAAUUUAUUGCAGUUAACUAACUCGAAGUAUCUAGUGAAUGUCUCCAUUUUCCCUAUACACUAAUUAGUACCAAAUUAGGUUCUAUCAAUUUACAGUUACAUAACAAGAAAUUACAGAGAACUGUGGGACCAGUAAAGUCUACAAACUAGUUCCAACAACAAGGCUUCCCUGAUGGUUGAAUAGUUCUAUGUUGACCCAUUUUCAUUCAUAAUAAAACCAGGGAAAAGGCAGAUCUCCAUCGGGUGCAUUUACAUAAUUUGACUUGGUGUUAUGAAGAACUUGCAUUUUCAUCGCAACAACAUCCAUGUGCAGCCUUCCCAGCACAAGUCCUCAGCUUGAAUGCAUAGACUUUUGACAGGUUUGGAAUGAGGUGUUUGAUUCUCUGACAAAUGCUGUAUCCAUGUUUUUAGCUUUCACAGAGUCUUAUUGAAUUUUAUCUGUACUUGAGUACACUACCAUGUCAGUAUUACUCAUCCUUUGACUAUUUUGCGCCUUGGGCCUCCUCUGUCGUUUGCAAAUGAAUAUUUACCAUACAAUUUUACAGUGUUUUUUCAGACUUUAGCUUUC